rnacentral:ncRNA from 1 species
AUUUCAUGAAGAGUGGUUGAGGGAUGAGCCCUGCGACGCCACGACAACCGGACGAGGUCUGUACCGGUGUCAACUCUCUCCUGGGGAACCGGGGAACAUGAGAU